CCUACGGGUGGCUGCAGUGGGGAAUAUUGGACAAUGGGCGAAAGCCUGAUCCAGCCAUGCCGCGUGUGUGAAGAAGGCCUUCGGGUUGUAAAGCACUUUCAGUGGGGAAGAAAGCCUUGGGGCUAAUACCCUCGAGGAAGGACAUCACCCACAGAAGAAGCACCGGCUAACUCCGUGCCAGCAGCCGCGGUAAUACGGAGGGUGCGAGCGUUAAUCGGAAUUACUGGGCGUAAAGCGCGCGUAGGCGGUCUGAUAAGCCGGUUGUGAAAGCCCCGGGCUCAACCUGGGAACGGCAUCCGGGGCGGUCAGGCGAGACGGCAGGAGAAGAAGAAGAAAUGCCCGGUGGAGUGGUGAAUUGAGUAGGGAGAGGGAGGCAUAGCAGUGGAGGAGGCGGUAUUCAGGACUGACAAUGACGCCAAGGUGCGAAGGAGUGAGUAGCAAACAGGACCAGAGACCCCAUUAGUA
rnacentral:rRNA from 1 species